rnacentral:rRNA from 1 species
AACACGUAUGAGAGUAACUGUUCAUACGUUGACGGUAGUUUAACCAGAAAGUCACGGCUAACUACGUGCCAGCAGCCGCGGUAAUACGUAGGUGGCAAGCGUUAUCCGGAUUUAUUGGGCGUAAAGAGAGUGCAGGCGGUUUUCUAAGUCUGAUGUGAAAGACCUUCGGCUUAACCGGAGAAGUGCAUCGGAAACUGGAUAACUUGAGUGCAGAAGAGGGUAGUGGAACUCCAUGUGUAGCGGUGGAAUGCGUAGAUAUAUGGAAGAACACCAGUGGCGAAGGCGGCUACCUGGUCUGCAACUGACGCUGAGACUCGAAAGCAUGGGUAGCGAACAGGAUUAGAUACCCUGGUAG